AUGGGAUGGAGUUGGAUCAUCCUCUUCCUCCUGUCAGUAGGUACAGGUGUCCACUCCCAGGUCCAGCUACAGCAGUCUGGUCCUAGACUGGGGAAACCUGAGUCCUCAGUGAAGUUGUCCUGCAAGGCUUCUGGCUACACCUUCAGCAUCUACUAUAUUAACUGGGUGAAGCAGAGGCCUGGACAGGACCUGGAGUGGAUAGGAAGGAUUGAUCCUGAAUAUGGUAAUACUGACUACAAUCAGAAGUUCAAGGCUAAGGCCAAACUGACUGUAGACAUAUCCUCCAGCACAGCCUACGUGGAGCUCAGCAGCCUGACCUCUGGGGACUCUGCAGUCUAUUACUGUGCAAGAGACACAGUGUUGCAACCACAUCCUGAGUGUGUCAGAAACCCUGGGGGAGCAGGAAGUUCCCCUGGGACUGAGAUGACAGAGAAGAUUAGCCUGGAAACUUGCUCAAAUCUCAUGAUUCUGAGUGACCCUUUGUCACUUCACAGUCUUUUUUUUAAUUAA